AAUGGGCGCAAGCCUGAUCCAGCAAUGCCGCGUGUGUGAAGAAGGCCUCCGGGUUGUAAAGCACUUUUGUCCGGAAAGAAAACCUCGUGGUUAAUACCCGUGGGGGAUGACGGUACCGGAAGAAUAAGCACCGGCUAACUACGUGCCAGCAGCCGCGGUAAUACGUAGGGUGCAAGCGUUAAUCGGAAUUACUGGGCGUAAAGCGUGCGCAGGCGGUUCGCUAAGACAGAUGUGAAAUCCCCGGGCUUAACCUGGGAACUGCAUUUGUGACUGGCGGGCUAGAGUAUGGCAGAGGGGGGUAGAAUUCCACGUGUAGCAGUGAAAUGCGUAGAGAUGUGGAGGAAUACCGAUGGCGAAGGCAGCCCCCGGGGCCAAUACUGACGCUCAUGCACGAAAGCGUGGGGAGCAAACAGGAUU
rnacentral:rRNA from 1 species